UACGGGGGGGGCAAGCGUUGUUCGGAAUUACUGGGCGUAAAGGGCGCGUAGGCGGUCAGAUAAGUCAGCUGUGAAAACCUCGGGCUUAACCCGAGGCCUGCAGUUGAAACUGUUUGGCUGGAGUGUGGGAGAGGAGAGUGGAAUUCCGGUGUAGCGGUGAAAUGCGUAGAUAUCGGGAGGAACACCGGUGGCGAAGGCGGCUCUCUGGACCACUACUGACGCUGAGGCGCGAAAGCUAGGGGAGCAAACAGGG
rnacentral:rRNA from 1 species